UAUUUUUUUUUUUUAUUCGUGAUAGAGACACCGACCAAUAGGGAGUGGGUUAGGGGAUUUUUUUUUUUAUUCGUGAUAGAGACACCGACCAAUAGGGAGUGGGUUAGGGGAUAUUUUUUUUUUAUUCGUGAUAGAGACACCGACCAAUAGGGAGUGGGUUAGGGGAUAUUUUUUUUUUUCGUGAUAGAGACACCGACCACGUGUAUAUCUGUUGUAUAUAUCUGUAUAUAGUAUUACUUAUUUAUUCUGCAUGUAUAGAGUUAGGGAUAGGCCUAUGAGUGGGGGUUAUCGUGUUCUACCAUGCAGCGAGUGCCAUGUUGAAGAGUGCACUGCUGUGGUGGUACUUCACGG
rnacentral:lncRNA from 1 species